GCAGUCGAACGAGAUCUUCGGAUUUAGUGGCGGACGGGUGAGUAACGCGUGAGAAUCUAGCUCUAGGUCUGGGACAACCACUGGAAACGGUGGCUAAUACCGGAUGUGCCGAGAGGUGAAAGGUUAACUGCCUAGAGAUGAGCUCGCGUCUGAUUAGCUAGUUGGAAGUGUAAAGGACUCCCAAGGCGACGAUCAGUAGCUGGUCUGAGAGGACGAUCAGCCACACUGGGACUGAGACACGGCCCAGACUCCUACGGGAGGCAGCAGUGGGGAAUUUUCCGCAAUGGGCGAAAGCCUGACGGAGCAAUACCGCGUGAGGGAGGAAGGCUCUUGGGUCGUAAACCUCUUUUCUCAGGGAAGAACAAAAUGACGGUACCUGAGGAAUAAGCAUCGGCUAACUCCGUGCCAGCAGCCGCGGUAAUACGGAGGAUGCAAGCGUUAUCCGGAAUGAUUGGGCGUAAAGCGUCCGCAGGUGGCGAUGUAAGUCUGCUGUUAAAGAGUCUAGCUCAACUAGAUAAGAGCAGUGGAAACUACAUAGCUAGAGUACGUUCGGGGCAGAGGGAAUUCCUGGUGUAGCGGUGAAAUGCGUAGAGAUCAGGAAGAACACCAGUGGCGAAGGCGCUCUGCUAGGCCGUAACUGACGCUGAGGGACGAAAGCUAGGGGAGCGAAUGGGAUUAGAUACCCCAGUAGUCCUAGCCGUAAACGAUGGAUACUAGGCGUGGCUUGUAUCGACCCGAGCCGUGCCGUA
rnacentral:rRNA from 1 species